rnacentral:rRNA from 1 species
CAGCAGCCGCGGUAAGACGAACCGUGCGAACGUUAUUCGGAAUCAUUGGGCUUAAAGCGCGUGUAGGCGGAUGGGAACGUCGGUCGCCGAAAUACCCCGGCUCAACCGGGGAACUGGCAUCGAAACGACCCGUCUCGAGGGGCAUAGGGGGAGCUGGAACCUCCGGUGGAGCGAUGAAAUGCGUUGAGAUCGGAAGGAACGCCCGUGGCGAAAGCGAGCUCCUGGAUGUCUUCUGACGCUGAGACGCGAAAGCUAGGGUAGCGAACGGGAUUAGAUACCCCAGUAGUCCCUGUCUCUUAUA